GUUAAGCUAAAUAUUUAGUUCCCAAACAUGUUUAAGUCUAUAUCAAAAUAAAAGCUGGAUUUUGCAGAUUUCUAGACAAACUUUGCUGCAAAUUAAAUAUUUAGUUUGUAAACUGAAUAUUUAGCAGGGAAAUGAAAUAUUUAGUUUGUACCUCUGACAUUAAUAUCCAUUUGAAUAAAAUGACUGAAGAAUGAACAUCCAGUUUUUCUUCAUGAAGGACUAAAAACAAACUGUUGCUGUUCAUUUUUUACAGUGUAACUUUACGAACAGCGCCCCCUGGCAUCAGGGCAUCGGGGUUAAUGGAGACUAACCCCUCCUCCUCUUCCUCUCUGCAGGUGCGACUCGGGCAACCUGAACGGGCAGCAGGUCAGAGGUCAGUUUGAGGCGUGGCUGGUCCUACACCGUGGUCCGGCCGCCGACCGUCACCGGCCGGUGGGCGGAGCAUCUGAGCCCCAACAUGGUGGAGGCGGGGCAGCAGUAGUGGGCGUGUCCAUAGCGCAGGCUCUGAUUGGCUGAUGGCAGCGGAAACAUGACAGAAAUCACUCAUCUGUAAAACGCUGAAUGAAAUAAGAAGCUGGAGAUCAACCCUUCGUCUGACUGAGCAACAAUUUAACCACCAUUUUUAUUUCGGUUUUUAGCUCCUCGUGUCAGUGACACAUUAUUCCGGGAACCUAAACAUAUUUUCUUUUUACAACAAUGACAAAACAUCAACAUUUAACCCUCCAUACUUAGAAACAUAAAAAUCACUACUUUUAUUUGUUAAACAGUGUGAAUUUUGUUGAUGCUCUUAUUUUGAAAUCAGAAGUUCUCUGAGAGGAGAAGUUAUGGAGGCGCCGCUAAUAUAAUCUGUCCUCUGUUGGUUUAUCUACGUUUUACAGCCAUGCCAAGAAAAAUCAAUCAAUAAAUAAAAUUAAAGUCAUAUUAUGAUAUUACAACUUUAUUCCUGUAUGACUUUAUCUCCCAUAGUUUCGUUUUUCUUUAUUUCUCAUCUUGGCCCAAUUGCUGCGUCGUUCAGUAACAAACUUCAUCCAAUCAGGUGCUGCUGUUGAGAAACGCCCACUUUGACUGCAGACACGCCCACUUCGUGCUCAUUGGCUGAAAUAAAAUCUUUACAUCAUGAUGAUGUCAUAGUGAUUUUAUUCUGAGGCAGAACAAUGAGGCAUUCUGGGUAAAUCUGAGGUUCUUCAGGACAAACAACAACAGACUCCAUGAGACAUGAACGGAUAAAUUAUUCUUCCAGUUAGUCUGUUCUGGUUCUGGUUCUGG